rnacentral:misc_RNA from 1 species
CAGAGUUGCAAAACUCCCUAAACCAUUGUGAACGUUACCUAAACCGUUGCUUCGGCGGGCGGCUCCGGGGUUCUCGGACCCCGGGCGCCCCUGGGCCCCACCGCGGGCGCCCGCCGGAGGUCACCAAACUCUUGAUAAUUCAUGGCCUCUCUGAGUCUUCUGUACUGAAUAAGUCA